rnacentral:rRNA from 1 species
AUUGAACGCUGGCGGCAGGCCUAACACAUGCAAGUCGAGCGGGGUUUUCGGACCUAGCGGCGGACGGGUGAGUAAUGCGUAGGAAGCUACCCGAUAGAGGGGGAUACCAGUUGGAAACGACUGUUAAUACCGCAUAAUGUCUACGGACCAAAGUGUGGGACCUUCGGGCCACAUGCUAUCGGAUGCACCUACGUGGGAUUAGCUAGUUGGUGGGGUAACGGCUCACCAAGGCGACGAUCCCUAGCUGGUUUGAGAGGAUGAUCAGCAAAACUGGAACUGAGGCACGGUCCAGACGCCUACGGGAGGCAGCAGUGGGGGAUAUUGGACAAUGGGGGCAACCCUGAUCCAGCCAUGCCGCGUGUGUGAAGAAGGCCUUCGGGUUGUAAAGCACUUUCAGCGAGGAGGAAGGGUGAUGUUUUAAUAGAGCAUCAUUUUGACGUUACUCGCAGAAGAAGCACCGGCUAACUCUGUGCCAGCCGCCGCAGUAAGAC